rnacentral:rRNA from 1 species
CCUACGGGAGGCAGCAGGGAGGAAUAUUGGGCAAUGGACGAGAGUCUGAACAAGCCAAGUAGCGUGAAGGAUGAAGGCCCGAGGGGUGGUAAACUUCAUGUAUAAAGGAAUAAAACGAGGUACGUGUGCAUGUUUGCAUGUAUGUUAUGAAGAAGGAUCGGCUAACUCCGUGCCAGCAGCAGCGGUAAUCCGGAGGAUCCGAGCGUUAUCCGGAUUUAUUGGGUUUAAAGGGAGCGUAGAUGGGUUUAUAAGUCAGUUAUAAUAGUUUACGGCUCAACCAUAAAAUUGCAAUUGAUACUGGCAGGCUUGAGUACAGUUGAGGUAGGCGGAAUUCGUGGUGUAGCGGUGAAAUGCUUAGAUAUCACGAAGAACCCCGAUUGCGAAGGCAGCUUACUCAACUGUGCCUGACAUUGAUGCUCGAAAGUGUGGGUAUCAAACAUGAUUAGAUACCCGUGUAGUG